GACGAACGCUGGCGGCGUGCUUAACACAUGCAAGUCGAGCGAUGAAGUUCCUUCGGGAAUGGAUUAGCGGCGGACGGGUGAGUAACACGUGGGUAACCUGCCUCAUAGAGGGGAAUAGCCUUCCGAAAGGAAGAUUAAUACCGCAUAAGAUUGUAGUACCGCAUGGUAUAGCAAUUAAAGGAGCAAUCCGCUAUGAGAUGGACCCGCGUCGCAUUAGCUAGUUGGUGAGGUAACGGCUCACCAAGGCGACGAUGCGUAGCCGACCUGAGAGGGUGAGCGGCCACAUUGGGACUGAUACACGGCCCAGACUCCUACGGGAGGCAGCAGUGGGGAAUAUUGCACAAUGGGGGAAACCCUGAUGCAGCAACGCCGCGUGAGUGAUGAAGGUCUUCGGAUUGUAAAACUCUGUCUUCAGGGACGAUAAUGACGGUACCUGAGGAGGAAGCCACGGCUAACUACGUGCCAGCAGCCGCGGUAAGAC
rnacentral:rRNA from 1 species